AGCAAGAAUGGGUUUAAAACCAGCAUUGGUGAAGGAAGGAAGGGAGGAGGAGGCCUCGGUCGAUUUCUUUCGGUUCUAUCUUCUCAAACUCAUGUCUAUCUUUUGUUUUAACUUAAGGAUUGUGUGUAACUAAACUUUUUAGUAGUUAGGGGCUGUUUUGAAGCCCCGAAUAUGAUUGCAAUUUUGUUAUGACAUUUCGUUAAAUUAUUUUUAUGAAUGGAUGAAAAUUGGUUCACUACUUGUCUCAUUGAUGAAUUCUUUAUUUGUUUUCUAUGGAUGCAUACUUAGUAAGCAUAUCUAGGAUUCUAAUGCUAUGAAUAUGUGUGUGUCUGCCCUUGUCGAAUGAGGACCUACAUAUGUUCUACAGUAGUACUUGUUAAUUGCGAUUAACAUGUGAACCAAUUUCUAGGAUAAGUAAGACAACACUAGUACUUACGAUGCCUUGUGAUGACUCAAACUCUUUUCGUUCUUUAUGAUUUCUUCUUGUUAAAUCUAUGAACACGCCAUUCUAGAUUGCAUGCUAGGAACUAAGUUAAGUUGAAAACGCCAUUCUCUUAACAUACUACGUAAGAAAGAGUAAUAGGUUGAGUUCUAACAUUGAGCCAACUUGAGCAUCUUCAUCCGGAAAUAAAAGGAAUUUGAAUGAAACAUAACAUGUUUGCAUGAUUAUUUGGUGGUGGAUAGCAAUUCCCCUAACUCGUUUUUCUUAAUAUGUGAACUACUUAAAAUAUGUUUCUGUCCUAUUUUUGUUUGAUUUAAUUUAAAUAUCAAAUCUAAUCCAAAAAUCCCAACAAUUUGUAGAAGUGUAGCUCUGUGUGUCUAAUGUUUGCUUAUAAAAUUUCGUAGACUUUAGAUUAGUGUAAGUCAGUCUAAUAAUUAUUUUUCGGUGGCUGGUCAGUAGGGACAGUAACCAGUUUUGUGACAUUUUAAGUAGUUAGAUAAAACAAUCUUCUGUGGGAAAGACCCUUAUUUUCAUAUGCUACAAUUGACAAAUCUUAGCUUUAAUAAGGAAAAUCAAUAGGACAUUGUGUGCUACUUUGUGGUGUGCUUUUAAUCCUAUCAUGAUACUUGUAAAUAGGAAUUACGAGAUGAAUUGGUGUGUUUGACUAUUACGUCACUUGGAGCAAUGCUUUGGAAUCCAGGUAGGGGAAAUACGGCAGACCUUUACGGAGAUUGGCUUUAUUAAAUUUUGGUGAAGCAUUAUACUAUUAUUAUCGAUCUUAUUGGUUGAUUAAUGUGAUAUGGGUUGCUAAUUGGACAAAUACUACUCUUGGGUGUUUACUUGUUAUUAGUUACGGAAUUAUUGGUGAAGUUAUAUUCGCUGAGAAUAUGUUGUGGUACAUGUGAAUGAUGAAAUGAGAUUAUUUGUGCAUCACUCCUGUGUGAGAAUAGUUGGAAGUUCGGUGUUGAGGAAGGAAUUCUGGAAAUGAGGGUGGUUGGAAAUAUCUUUUGUGUAGUUGAGCCAAACUCUUAGUAGGUACCAAGUCUCAGGCGAGCCCACAGUACACAGUUUCUUUGAGGGUAAUUCGGGAUUGGCGACGAAGGGUUUUGGCAAGAUGGCUAACAAAAGGGGAAAUUGGGAUGAUUGAGUUAUAGGGGGUUAAUUUGUAUAUUAGAACAUUCAAACCACCACUGCAGAGGUAAAAUGCACGGUAUGGGACGUGCAGGUCCGCGUGUUUUAUUAUAUGAAUUAACGGGUAGAGAUGAAGAGUAUUGUAUCACACUCAUGCAUUGUUGAUGAUAAUGAUUUGGUACUUGAUUACAUGAUUUUAUUACACUUAAUUUAAUAUUG
rnacentral:lncRNA from 1 species